rnacentral:tRNA from 1 species
GGAGGGUUGGCAGAGUGGACAAAUGCACGGGUCUCGAAAACCCGAGGGAUUUUUCCCUGCACAGGUUCGAAUCCUGUACCCUCCG